rnacentral:rRNA from 1 species
GACGAACGCUGGCGGCGUGCUUAACACAUGCAAGUCGAACGCUGAAGCACCAGCUUGCUGGUGUGGAUGAGUGGCGAACGGGUGAGUAAUACGUGAGUAACCUGCCCUUGACUCUGGGAUAAGCCCGGGAAACUGGGUCUAAUACUGGAUGCUACAUGUCACCGCAUGGUGGUGUGUGGAAAGGGUUUACUGGUCUUGGAUGGGCUCACGGCCUAUCAGCUUGUUGGUGAGGUAAUGGCUCACCAAGGCGACGACGGGUAGCCGGCCUGAGAGGGUGACCGGCCACACUGGGACUGAGACACGGCCCAGACUCCUACGGGAGGCAGCAGUGGGGAAUAUUGCACAAUGGGCGAAAGCCUGAUGCAGCGACGCCGCGUGAGGGAUGACGGCCUUCGGGUUGUAAACCUCGUUCAGCAGGGAAGAAGCCACAAGUGACGGUACCUGCAGAAGAAGCGCCGGCUAACUACGUG